rnacentral:rRNA from 1 species
GCUGGCGGGAUGCUUUACACAUGCAAGUCGAACGGCAGCAUAGAGAGCUUGCUCUCUGAUGGCGAGUGGCGAACGGGUGAGUAAUAUAUCGGAACGUGCCCAGUAAUGGGGAAUAACUAAUUGAAAGAUUAGCUAAUACCGCAUACGACCUACGGGUGAAAGCAGGGGAUCUUCGGACCUUGCGUUAUUGGAGCGGCCGAUAUCUGAUUAGCUAGUUGGUAGGGUAAAAGCCUACCAAGGCGACGAUCAGUAGCUGGUCUGAGAGGACGAUCAGCCACACUGGAACUGAGACACGGUCCAGACUCCUACGGGAGGCAGCAGUGGGGAAUUUUGGACAAUGGGGGAAACCCUGAUCCAGCCAUCCCGCGUGAGUGAAGAAGGCCUUCGGGUUGUAAAGCUCUUUCGGAAGUGAAGAAAACUUAUUUCGUAAUAUGUUAUAAGAAUGACGGUAACUUUAGAAGAAGCACCGGCUAACUACGUGCCAGCAGCCGCGGUAAUACGUAGGGUGCGAGCGUUAAUCGGAAUUACUGGGCGUAAAGCGUGCGCAGGCGGUCUUGUAAGUCAGAUGUGAAAUCCCCGAGCUUAACUUGGGAACUGCGUUUGAAACUACAAGACUAGAGUGUGUCAGAGGGGGGUAGAAUUCCACGUGUAGCAGUGAAAUGCGUAGAGAUGUGGAGGAAUAUCAAUGGCGAAGGCAGCCCCCUGGGAUAACACUGACGCUCAUGCACGAAAGCGUGGGGAGCGAACAGGAUUAGAUACCCUGGUAGUCCACGCCCUAAACGAUGUCAACUAGUUGUUGGUGGAGUAAGAUCCAUGAGUAACGUAGCUAACGCGUGAAGUUGACCGCC